GUGUAUGUGUGUGUGUGUAUGUGUGUGUGUAUACAUACAUAUAUAUACAUAUAUAUACACACAUACACACACAUAUAUAUAUACAUACAUACAUAUAUAUAUAUAUAUGUAUAUGAAUA
rnacentral:miRNA from 12 species